CCCCACAGCUGCUGCUUUCCCCUUAAGCACUGCAAUGCAGAUGUGUCUCACACAGUGGCAGGAAACUUUCACUGAAGAUGCUCGUGAAAGAGCAACUGGAGAGACAGAGAGAGAGGAGGGAAGGGCAUGAAAGAGAUGCAGUGGGAAUACAUGCCAUACUGCCAGAAGUGACAAUAGGAAGACGGGAAAAAAAAGUUUUUCGUACUUGUGGAAGCAUAUGGUGGAGAAAAAAAACCCCGACAUGGCAACGCUUGAUUCAUGAGGCAAUGAAAGUGAAAUCUUUAGCUUCUUCCCCUGAACAGCUUUACAGAUCUAACUCACUGCCUCACAAAUGAUGUGUUUGGAAGCCCCAGCGUGAUUUUAAAAAGGGGGCAUUCUUUUGGUUCAACAUUAACAUUGAAUUGGGUGGAGCCGGACCCUGUUGAUCCACGCUGUUCGGUUUAUUAUUGCACGCACUUUGAUUAACUGUGGUUGCGCUCAUUUUAAUUGGCAGCAGCAAUUGAUAAUCACAUUUUUGUCUUUUGUCUUUUUACUUUUGGCCUCGGGCUAAAAGUUAAUGGAAUUUCACAAACAGUUUUGGAACAAUUACAUCAGGACUUAAUUUUCCAUGUUAACACAAAUGGGAAAAAGUAAAUGAAAGCCUCUCAACAAGUAUUCACUAAUUCACUGGCUUUCAAUUUUGGAAUGGAAUGCUAUUUACUGUAUAUUUGUACACAAACAAAUAGAGUUGUGUCACAAAAAUAAUGGAUGAAUAUAUUAGCAUCCAAGACAACUUAAACAGAACUGAUGUUCUUAGUAAUGCCAUGUGGUCGAUGCGCUAAGGCAGCAGUGCAUUUGAUGAUGUCUGAUGAAUGUAAAGUAUACAGUACACUAGUGAUUCUAUUUUGCAUUUAAUACCCCUUUACUACGAACGGCUUCUUUUUAUUUUUGGUACGUGUCCGACCUUCCAGGCUGCAAUUUACUACUUACUACUUUUUUGCACUCAAUGUGCAUAUCAUUUUGUAUAAUUUCUACAGUAGUUUUCAUCUUUCUGCUGUUUUUUCUUGUAAUAUUUAAAUUGCCUGCACACCCUCGAGGGAGUCAACGUCAACAAUGCAGGUGUAUACUCCAGUGUUGCUGCCCAUAAUUUGAUCUCAUUGAUAGAAGCCUCCCGUUAACGCUUUGCUCUGCUACAGCCUUAUCAGACUAGUAUUUGUAAAAGCAAACUGAACAUUUUCUGAUGCUGCUGCAUUUUGGGAUUAGUUCCCAACGUUAGCAGUACUUCUGUUCACUGAAAGUGCAUCUACUAGGGGUGUAACGAUUCAUUCACUGAAUCGAUUAAUCGAUUUAUAUUCCUGCGAUCCAACUGAAUCGAUCUGUGCUCCGCAAAUCGGCAUUCCGGACGACAUAUCGAUUACAAAUCGAUUGAAAUGGUACAUAAUCGAUUUGUAUUGAUACUUGGAAACUGCACAUUGGAUUUAAGUACAAAGACGGUAUGGAUGUGUGUUUGUUUGUUUGUUUUUUAGCACUUUAGACACGUUAAACGUUACUGGAUUCAGUCUGCCUGUCUGUGACGUCAUCAGUACGCAGCGGCAGCCGCGCGAAACUCUGAACAACAACAAAACACAGCGUGGAGGAGACGACUGCGAGCGAGACAUUUACAAACCAACUUAUCGAUCCAGCGCGUGGAAACAUUUUGGCUUUUGCAAACACGGAGGUGUUCUAAAUAAGUCGGUCGCUGUUUCAGAAAGUAACUCCAGCUCUGCAGACACCUCAGGCCUCGCCAGCACCAAACUCACCAUCACAGUAACAAUUGCCAAGUUUAUCUGUAAAGACAUGCAACCCUACUAUGUGGUUGAAAAUCCGGGGUUCUGUGAAUUGAUCUAAACAUUGUGUAAUUAUUGUGUUAUGUUUACAUUGAAAAUGGCACUUGAUUCGAAUAAAAGGUUAAUACAUUUGCCAUUAUUGUUGUUUGCUUGUUUAUAAUAUCCAUAAUUAAUUUAAACCUGAUUUCCUUACAAGAAACAACAGGGAUCUCAGGAACUUUGCCUGCACUGUCCAGUAAAGUUACUGAAUCGAUUUCAAGUCACUGAAUUGAAUCGAAUCAUUCUAAAUUAACCCAGAUCGUCCAUGAAUCGAAUCGGCAACCAUGAAUCGUGAUUCGAAUCGAAUCGUUGAGUGAGGUAAAUUAAGAGUCACAGUAUUAGGCCUAUAAGGUGUGUGUGUGUGUGUGUGUGGCAGAUGUAUGAUCUUGUUGGUGUUUUUUGUGUUUCUGGCUGCUUGUUGCCGCGGUUUUGGCAAAUGCAAAGCCUGCACAUGAUGCAUAUGCUGCCCAGCUGUUAUAACGUGAACCACCUAGAAGUCUGAACUAGUGCUCCAUCCCACAGCCCUCCAUCAAUGAUUGUAUAUUUAUUGUCUGUAGCCUAAUUUUGCAAAACAUACCAUGUUUCUGACUAUUCACUGAUCACUUGUGUAGUCUUCCUUUUCAGCUUUGGCAUCAUGCCAUUGCAGCUUUGCAUUUUUUUUCAGACAAAUUUAUUGACCGAUUCAUCUGUUCCUGCUGGUGGUCCCAAACCAGCCUUUUAAGUACACUGCACUGGAUCAGUGGCUUCUGUACAACAAAAUGAGACAAAGUAGGCUGUGGCUGUUUGUUCCUCCCCAGUCUCUCAUAAACACCUUCCUGUCACCGAGUUUCCAGAUGGCCACGCACCUCCAUAUCCCACAGUUCAAAGCUCUAAACAUCCUCGCGCACGCAUUUGCAUUGGGUCACCGCUCACUUCGACACGCUAGACGAAGAGGAGCACUAAUCCUUUCCCGCAUGCCUCCCUGGAAACGGUCUCUAUGCAAAUGUUUCUUGUUUCGGGUGGAUCCAGAGUGAGAGUGUUUUGGUAGCUAGCGUGUGCAUUCAGUGGGGGUGUUUUGCUUUGUCCCAGUAAGUGUGGCUCUUUUGGCAGGUGACCUUCUUAACAGACUUGGUUUAAGGUUUCUUUUUAGGUUUGGGAGGGGUUGUUAGAAAACACAGCGGUGAACUUUAAAAGAUCCGUCUACAGGUCCACACCGGAUUUAUCCUGUAUUUAAUUGCACCGGAGAGCAAUCACUGUCUGCCCUACAAAAUCCUUGGUAAAGCUGCGCUUUACAAUAGAGCCAUAAUUGCAGGAGUUUAAUUGCCUGCCAAUGCUCUGCUCCCACUGCCUGCUUGCAUUGAAGAGCUCAAUAAUUAGAAACAGGGAGAAAUUAGGUGGCAAUUUUGUCUUGGCAAUUAUCAUAAUGCAAAAGAAGUGCCAUUAGUAUUGUUAGCCCCACAGUACAUAAUCCUUUGAAUCUGUCAAGUCCCUCUCGUGGCUGCUGGGUACAACAACUCUUGAUUUCCCAGUAGCCUUUGCACUCCCUCAGUCACUACUUUAGUCAUCAGCUCUGCAGGCCAGCCGGCUCACUGGGAGUCAAACGAGCAGACAGAACACAUCCAUGCCCCGGGUGCUGGGAGGAUUAUAAACUACAGCAUUAGCAGUCUGUGUUUCCUUUAAAGGUAUAUAAAUGGGGUGUUAAUCCUCUUCCACCAUUUCAACCAUGAAAUUGUGUUUGAUAUAACAGAAAAAAACGAAUGCAGCUGACACGUAUUGUAUUUGCACUGCGUUGACAUACCAUUCGGUUUGACUCCCAGGUUGGAUUUGUCCCUGUUUUUUUAAAUUAGUAUAUUGAUGAACACAUGCCGUAUCUUCGAGAGUCGUUAGGAAAUAUGUGACACUUUGUGGUACAUUGAGAGAGCUAACAUUUUACACAUAAAUCAAGGCUUUUAUAUUCACAAAGUCGUGACCUCACACUCUAUCACACUCAUUUUUGUGGUCGAGGGGAAACACAAUUCAGUACGCAUGUUUCCUUUUUCUUAUUUGCAAUGUUUUUAAAAAAAUGAUGUUUGCUUAGCCGUUUAAAACCUGAAUUACCCAAAUCUCCUGAGUAGUGAAAUCCAUAAUUUACAACAUGAUUACUUCUGCGAACGUGCUGCUCCCUUUCGUCAGACUGUAAAGUCACCUUGCCACAUCUUAUUAAGUGUUUUCGUCGCAAUUCUCUAACUCGGUUGUACGGAAGGUUAUAACCAUUUUGUAGCGAGACCACAGGCUUUUGUUGAGCGUCAAACUGCAGGUUGUCGUAUAUAAAUAUAAAGGGGGCGGGAGAAAGGAUGGUGAACGUCAUGUAGCGGAAUCCCUCCACGUGUUUGGCUGUUAAUGCCAUUAGCGCUGCUGUCUGGAGACUCUCUCAUCUUCCUUCAUUACGCAAACUAUUUUAGGUGCUCCGGGACCGUUUUCUAGUUUCCACUCGUGUUGUCUAACAUUUUGUCAUUUUUAUCAUAAUUUUAUACCAUAUAGAGGGUACUGACCAACACACAUCGGAUCUGGACCGUGCAUGUAUUUUAAACACCUUUUUCUUUUCUCUUUCCAGUGUAUAUAUUUGGUAAUGGGCAAUUAUGUUGUCUCAAGUCCACAUGUAUAUUCUUUUUGGCAUAUUGAGAGAAAAAAACAGCCCAGCCCAGAGUAUUUUGACACAGAACAGGGAUGUUUUUGUGCAAAUGUGUAUUUUUUUUGUCCGAUGAAGAAAAACAUGAAGGCCUAUAAACCAUUUCCAGUUUUUCUUUGGUAUAUUGAGCUGAAACUCUUUUAUUAUACCGUCUGCAGUGUAAUGCAACAGUUACCUCCCCAUUUACACCAAUGGGGGCAUGAAAAUAAGAAAUUCUUCACUGUAUAAUUCAACAGCAUCAUGAACUGCAGCCUCCAACAAUUUAAAAAAAACAACCUGUCUGAACAAAAGCUGAAUAUUAUCAGCCCCAUGACUCGUGAAGGUAGGAUUUAUUUUAGGACUGCAGUAAGACUGCAUCAGUUUUAGCAACAAACUGUCACCCAUGUGUAGACGCUUGUCCAUUUCUAAUGCAGGAUUUGUCUACCUUAUCAAAAUUGCAAAGACUUCAAAGAUUAGUCUGAAUGUGAACUUUCCAAAAAUAAUCUUGUGUUUUAUUUUAUUUUUUUAAUUUUAUGUUCCAUUCAGAAAACUGUGCCGGGUUAGUUUGUGCUACACAGCCCUUCAGAGGGUAGAUAUCAAAAACAAAAAGACUUUAAUAGUGAAAAUCUAACAGGGCCAGGGGCAAAAAUGCAGACGGGAACUGGGAACAUCCAAAAACAUUCAACAAUGACACAAGACACACACGGCUUAAAUACACUAGGGAGGUGCAGGUGAUUGGACACAGGUGGAAACAAUCAGACAAUCACAGGGGAUGACAGGACAAGGCAGGAAGUGAAGUUAACCCAGGGACACAAGGGACAGAAAACUACAAAAUAAGACAGGAAAUGAACCCAAACCGUGACAAUUUGAUGAGAAUAGUUUGAUAUUUAUAAAAUAAAAGUUACAAUCCGAGUCAGUAGCACGUAAACCACUUAUAAACACACCAUAUAUUUGGUACAACUAGUGAUAUAACCUAAAAGUAUCUCCAAAGGGCCCAACUUAGAUUUGACCCCAACCCUCACUGGAGGAGGAAGCAGCAUGUGAGCUGUUUGUCGGCGUUUUUCUCUCGGUGAAAAACAAGAGGCGCUAAGACGUGCCUGAAUAAUGAAGAUAAAAUGACUUUGGGAAUCAGGAACUCCUUCACCUUUAACGUUGAACAACUCUCAGUGGCUC
ensembl:lncRNA